rnacentral:rRNA from 1 species
UACACUCCUACGGGAGGCAGCAGUGGGGAAUAUUGGACAAUGGGCGCAAGCCUGAUCCAGCCAUGCCGCGUGAGUGAUGAAGGCCCUAGGGUUGUAAAGCUCUUUCACCGGAGAAGAUAAUGACGGUAUCCGGAGAAGAAGCCCCGGCUAACUUCGUGCCAGCAGCCGCGGUAAUACGAAGGGGGCUAGCGUUGUUCGGAAUUACUGGGCGUAAAGCGCACGUAGGCGGAUCGAUCAGUCAGGGGUGAAAUCCCAGGGCUCAACCCUGGAACUGCCUUUGAUACUGUCGAUCUGGAGUAUGGAAGAGGUGAGUGGAAUUCCGAGUGUAGAGGUGAAAUUCGUAGAUAUUCGGAGGAACACCAGUGGCGAAGGCGGCUCACUGGUCCAUUACUGACGCUGAGGUGCGAAAGCGUGGGGAGCAAACAGGAUUAGAAACCCCUGUAGUCCC